AAAAGAAAAGCAAAACCCACCUACUCUAAAGACACCUCCUUUGUUGUGUGAGUGAAAUAAACCAUUAAGAAAGAAGCGUGGAAAGCCCCGCUUCUCUCACUUGACAUCAAGCCACGCUGUCCUGCCUGCUGGAGUCCCGUGUUGGUGGCUGCCACCUGAGCCACCUGGGUGCCUGUGCUCCCCCACUUGCCCAACUUAGCCUGACCUGCUGCCUUCCCGGGACUGCAGCUCAGGCCAGGCCCUGGGGUGCAGAAAGAGCCCGUGCCCCUGGGGCCUGAGGUGCCUCAGAUAUCCUCAGGGUGCUUUUUGAAACCUUUAGCCAGAGCACAUUGCUUGAGCUAACUCACUUUGGGAAACGAAGCUCUGGGACAUUCUUGGUUUUGGUUCUGCCCUUCGUGCUCCUGCAGUGUCUGUCCACAGGAGGUUUACACAGGGCAGACAUCAACACCUGAUGCUUGCCCGUCGGCAAGGUGUGGAGCUGUGAUUGGCAGUGAGGAAAGCUGUGGCAGAUACCCCCACUACUGCCUAUAACACGUACCUGGGGGUGCACAGGCUUCAGCCCCUGGUUGCAGCUUGGGGAAGUUUUUCUUCCUCCUAAAUUGCAGAAAUGUGACGCAUCAAACACUCACUUCCCAAAGCAAAUAAACCCGUGCUUUCCCCAGCUCCCCGCCCGCGGCUUUAUGAGGACAAACAUUGUGUUAGCCUAAAGCCCGCACCGCAAAUAAACAAAAGAAUCGCAUGGGAUUAGCUGCUACUUCCUUUGCCUUGUGCAUGCUGGGGGUGGAAAGAGCAUACAGCAAAAACGCUGGACUUCAAGAGACAAUCCUGAACGGGUGGCAUGCCGGUGCCCAUCUCUCUGCUGUGUGAUGGGUGAGGUUUUGGGCACGGGCACGGUGCCCACAGCUCGUGUCCCCCUCUGGUCGCGGUGGCACCAGAGACCAGCGUGGGCAGAUGCCACUCCAGCCGACCACGCACUGAAACCAAAAAGCAAAGGCGGUUUGGAGCCAGCCUGCGCAGGGAGGUGCCAUGUGCGGCAGAGGUUUAACAGAAUUUGAAAGCAGCCACCGCCACGACCUGGACCAAUGAUCUGGGCAGAGCGGCGGGGGAGUUUCGGCUUGGCGUCUCUGGCGCCCGUUACGAAUGCCAGCCUCGCUCCCGGCCCACGUGGAGCCCGCGCUCGCUCCCGGUGCCUGCUCCGCUGGCCGGCCAGGGGGGAAGGAGGCGGGAGAGCAGGACGAGUGUUCUCCAGACUGCGAUGCAUCCACACGUGCCACCCCCUCCUGCUCCCCGUGCCUGUCAGUGUUGCCAUUUCACCCCUAUAAAUGAAAUUUCACCUUUUUGUGAUAACCCACAGUCAAAAUGGCCCAAAAUUAUGAUGUGGAGGGGGGCAGGUGGAGGGGGGAGGCUCUGCCCCGCCUGGGCCGGAAUGCAGGAGCAAUGCUCGCAGGGUGACUUCUCCCCCCAGGUAGGAUCCUUCCCACCUGCUGGGUCCGCUGACAUCACAGCCCUGCUUUUUGGGGUGAUAUCCAGGUGUUGCAGAGCAUGGCGCGGCACGAGCAGAACGGUGGGGGCAGAAGGCACCGUGUUUGGAUGCCUCCCACCUCAGCAGGUCCCGGGUUCACUUUGGGGCUCUCCAUCCCUUGAGUUGCAGCCAAGCUGGCCACGGAACGGCACGGCACUUCCAGCGCAAGGCUCCACCGGCCGCAUAUUGAAACCAUUAGGAGGGAGGGAUCUGGUUCUGCUCCCUCUCCCUUUCCUCCCUCUCUCGGUGAUGCAGUGGGCGCUGAGAACAGAGCUGCUUGGGCAGCAAGUGCACGUUCCCACAGCCCCUCGCAGCUGGCGAAAACCAAACUCUCCCAGCGAGCGCGGCUCCUUGGGCUGAUAUCCGAGAGCAAACGCAAGUGUGUCCAAAAACAUCAAGCCCUACCCAAUUAACCCUGUUCUCCUCUGCGCAUCGCCACCGUGGCCAGGAGCAUCUCGGCUGCAGCUCUGCUUGGGGAAGGGCUGCUGCCUGGUGCCGGCCCCCGGUUUUGAAGCAGGGUGGCUCUGAGCAGGGCUGGGGUUCGCUGAUUCAGACAGCCCCUGCUUUGCAACCCCUCCGCCACCGCGUGACUAAUUCCUGGACUCACUCUGAAUCAGAGAGUAAAAACAUGCCGGUAAGGCAUUUUCGGGUCGGUUUAUUUUCUUGAAACAAAUAAGAACCGUACCCCUCGCUGUGCCCAAAUUAUGCAAAACAGGCAUCAGCGGCAAGAAAUGGGGCAGGCGUGGGGGGGAAACGUAACGGCAGCUGGGGGUGGCCCGGUUUUCGGGAGAAGCCCCCGGGAGCAGGGUGGGUGAGGGCAGUGGUGCUGUGCUGCAGCCACCAUGUGCCCGCGGCUGCGCUGGGUUUCCCUGCCCCGUGGUUCCCGCGCCGUGCUGGAGGUAGCACGUGUUUGGGAUGUGUUUUUUUCUUUCUUUUCCCUUCUCUUGCUUUUUAAAGAAAUUCAUUUAUCCCCACAAAGCCUGAUGUCAGCAACUUUUACUCCCCUCCGCGCUUGACAUUUAAUAGGUCUUGUUUUGAAUGGCAGAAAAUAUGGCUUAGUAGUUAAAUAAGGCAGGAGAGGAAGAGAGGGAACGGCAUCGCCAAGAGCAGUAAGAUCAGCCAAACCGCAGCGAAGCGCGGAGCUGCUCUUCCCGCCCCUGCUGGGAGCUGCUUGCGAUCGGGAGCCUCACUGCGGAGCUGCCGGCCCUGCCGCCCCGGGGACGCUCUCUGGCCCCGCCGUUUGCUCGCCCGGCUCCCACCCAGGGGUUUUGCUGCAAACCCUUGGAAACAAGACCUUUCCCAGGGCUUAGCCGAGCCCUGUGUGGCCUCCGCCUUCACCCCACAUGGGAGCUUUCCCACUAGAUUUGAAAACCAGAAGGCGUUCACCCUAUUCCCAUCCCCAUUUCUGCCUUUAGGUCCCAGAAGGGCAGUCCCAGCCUGCAGUUUUCCAUAGCAAAGACCCUUUCUGAUGAGAAAAAGCCCCAGUGUUUCCCAAUGGGUGUAGCUGGCUGCCAGGGCGAUGACCAGGGGCCGUGGGAAAGCCUCCCCAUCCCUCUCCUCCCUAUAAACCCCGCACGCUCCCGGCCCCAUCCGCAGCCAGGAGCUGCAGCGAGGGAGCCCAGCAGGACGCGUUGCGGGAGCUUCAGAAAGGUGGCUGCGGGCCCCUGCUGGAACAGAAGGCGCCUGGGAGGCUUUCCAAGGAGCGCAGCGGGGAUGCCGGUGGGGAUGCCAGAGGUGCAGCGGUUCUUUCCCCAGAUGAGCGGGUUGGAUGCUCAGCUGGGAACCACUGCAGGAACGCAGCUGAAGGAAACCCUCCGCCAUGCAGCGGGUCACAGAACACGCUCAGUUCUGAGGCAUCCAGCAAGAAAAGGAAAACGAUUAUUUUUGCCAUGCUAAGAAGAAAGCCACAAUUGGAGAAACUGCACUUUGAGCAAACUUGUGGACUUUUCAUCUCCCCAACGGGACUGGAAGGCUCUUCACUUCAAUAUUAUGUUCCAGCACUUCAGCAGAAAAUAAACCAGGCGCAAGAAAACGGCGCUGGCUAAUAAAAGAAAAGAAAGAGCUAAUACAUCAAUUACACUGAACUGUACAGAACCAACCCCUUUAGUCUCCAUUUUAAGAAGUUUCUGAACACGUGAUAAAACAAUCGCAUAAUGCCACAAAUAUUUGAGGGGGAAAGAAGCAGCCUGUGACCCAGGCGAGCCUCGGUGCAGCACCUGUGCCACCUCUGCCCCCUCCUGCCACGAGAAGCUCAGAUUUGAGCAAGAAAUGCAGCCUUAAGAGGGGAAGAAAAAAAAAAAAACUACCCCCAAAAAAAAGCACACAAAACAGAGCAUUUCACAAACUUGGCACGAAAGCUUAAAAGGACUCGCGAGGGAAUACAAAUAGCUUCCAAUCUCAAAAUAUUCAAAGGACUGGUAGGGCAGUUAAAAUAAAUAAAUAAAUAAAUAAAAAAUUAAAUAA